AUCCAGCUGACCAGUCUCAAAUAGAACGGAACGCAUGUCCUAGAU
rfam:Schistosoma curassoni strain Dakar, Senegal genome assembly, scaffold: SCTD_scaffold0009229